AUUAACUCCAUUCCUCUUUUUAAAAUUGAAAUAGGAAUCCAAAAACCAUGGUAAGCAAAUUUGUUUGAUAUAAACUGUUAAGAAUAGAAAUUCAUAUUGUGGAAAAUUGAGAAAGUGGACAAAAUAUUCGAUGCAGUUACAAAAUCAAGAUUAUAGAAUGAAAGCAUUCAUCACAAUUUUGAAUAACAGCAAUGUAUGAGAACAUGCAAGUCAAGUAUGACUGUUUGCCAUUGUGAGGCAGAAAUUACUGGAACAACCAUUAAGUACAUCCAUGAAGGUUAGACUUUAGAGUAUAAGACAUGACAAUCCCAACAUGCAUUCAUAAAUAGAAUGGAUGAAAUACUAAAAUACACAAUUUUCAUCCAGCCCCAGCUAAAUAGGAUGGAUUUAAAUUUUUUCAGUAAGUACUUCUCUUUUGUACCUUUUUUUUGGUUAAAUAUUAAGAGAAUAAUUUUCAGUUUCGACUAAAACAGUACAAUUCCAUAUGAUCACAAUUCACAACAUUAAAUUUUAAUUCCUAACAUAAAUGGUCGAUACUAGGAUUUCUUGUAUCCUGAAGCAUAAACACAAAAUUUUUCAUGGACCUUGAGAAAAAUUUGCAACAUAUUGUCCAAGAUACUGUCUAUUCUUACCUUUUGAAUUAGUAAUCAUUGCUAACUCAAAGUUGGGCUGACAAUAGCAAUCACUAGAUGG
rnacentral:misc_RNA from 1 species